rnacentral:rRNA from 1 species
UACGUAGGGUGCAAGCGUUGUCCGGAAUUAUUGGGCGUAAAGAGCUCGUAGGCGGUUUGUUGCGUCGGCUGUGAAAUCCCGAGGCUCAACCUCGGGUCUGCAGUCGAUACGAGCAAACUAGAGUGUUGCAGGGGAGACUGGAAUUCCUGGUGUAGCGGUGAAAUGCGCAGAUAUCAGGAGGAACACCGGUGGCGAAGGCGGGUCUCUGGGCAACAACUGACGCUGGAGGAGCGAAAAGCGUGGGGAGCGAAACAGG